UGGUGGACUAUGCCUUUGGUCAUUAUCAAAUGUAGUUCUUGCCUUGGAAUUUAUGUGGGAGUGGCUCCAAGACCCCCGUGGACUCAGAUGCUCGAUUCCCAUAGAGAAAAAAAUGCUCACAAAUAUAAAGGAAAUUGGAUCCUUUUCCCCUCCCAAUCCAAGGGGCUGGAAGAUGAUGACUCUGGGAAGAAAACUGAUCUGGUUUAAACUCCUUGAAAAGGUGCUGGGGGUCUCCUUGUUAGCAUCUCCCGUAAACAAGCUACAAUACACUGGAUGGUUAUAUUCUUCCCCUACCUCAAAUUCAUAUAUUGAAAUACUAACCCCAAAUAUGUAGUAUCUGGAUUGGGGAGUCUUUAGGAUAUAAUGAAGUCAAGAGCAGAUUCCUUAUGAAUGGAAUUAGUGCCCUUAUAAAAAGACAAGGAAGUUCUCUCUCUCUACCUCUCUACCUCUCUACCUCUCUACCUCUCUACCUCUCU